CCCAGGAUCUUUGGGGGGGUCUUGGAGAGUGAUGCAAGAAGUGAAUCCCCCCAACCAGCACCAGACUGGGGCUCCCAGAGGCCAUUUCAUAGGUUUGAUGAUGUAUGGCCUAUGGACCCCCAUCCUAGAACCAGAGAGGACAAUGAUCUUGAUUCCCAGGUUUCCCAGGAGGGUCUUGGCCCGGUUCUACAGCCCCAGCCCAAAUCCUAUUUCAAGAGCAUCUCUGUGACCAAGAUCACUAAACCAGAUGGGGUGAGUUGAAAGAAAGAGGUAAAGGAAAAGUAUGGCCAGGGAACGAAUGCCCUGAAACAGGGAUCUGUGUAAAGAAACUGCUGAGCAUAACCUUUAGUAACGUUCGGAAUAUGGUGGGGACUUCUCUUUGUAGAUAGUGGAGGAGCGCCGGACUGUGGUGGACAGUGAGGGCCGGACAGAGACUACAGUAACCCGACACGAAGCAGAUAGCAGUCCUAGGGGUGAUCCAGAAUCACCAAGACCUCCAGCCCUGGAUGAUGCCUUUUCCAUCCUGGACUUAUUCCUAGGACGUUGGUUCCGGUCCCGGUAGCCUUGUUAACCCUCAGAGGCCUUCAAGUCCUUUCCACCUCUCACCCAUUGCCCACCAUUAAUAAGCUUAGCUUCUCCUCUUGCCACCUCAGGGGCUUGGAUAUGUGGAAUAGUGAACUGGGGGCAUGUCAGUUUGUCACUCACCCAAACUGACCAAUAAAACCUUUAUUUAUGCU
rnacentral:sRNA from 1 species